AUGCCUUGUCUCAACUCCUCCCAGCCAAUAAUAAGUCCGCUGGCUAACAAAGCUGGAAUUGAAGCCCAGAUCUGUCUGACUUGGAAGACGGAGCUUCUCCUAUCACACUAUGGAGUGGUAUGGUGGUCAUGGGAUGCUACAACUGGAUCAAUUUGCUGAUAAAGGUGCUCAUUCGAGCUGAAGGAUUUAAUAGAGAAAAAGCAGACUAAGAAAUAGAAUAUUUAAACACUUCAAGUCAUUUCCUUGGAAAGGCUUUCUGCAUCUUGUUGGAGGAGCGAGUCAUCUUCCUGUGUGAAAUGUUCAAAGCUCAUUUCCGGUGAGUAAUGAGAGGGGCAUUCAGGUCUGGAUGCAGCCACUGUGCACGUGGUGAAGUCCACGGUACUACAGCUUCCUCUUCAGAAAACAGAGGUGCUGCCUCUUGGGCCCCAUUAUUCUGGGCUCUUC
rnacentral:lncRNA from 1 species